rnacentral:lncRNA from 10 species
GGUGAGGCAGGCUGUGGGCAGGGCUUCAGAGCCGCGCAGGCAGGGGCAUGGGUGGGCGUGGCUGCGUCUUAUAGGCUGAGCCACUGGCUGUGCCCCUGAGCUGAGCUGGGUGAGUACUCUAGGCAUUCCUGGCAGAGGAUACAGCAGGAGCAAAGGCCUGGAGGCUAAAAAUAGCUUGCGGGCAGGGGAGCUACCAGCAGUUCAGUGCUUCUGGAGUUUAAAGAGCCCGGCGAGGGUCAUGUCAGAUGACGCCGGUCCACGAGAAGGAGGGUGGAUUAUAUCCUUAGAGACGCCAUAGAGUGAGGAUAUAAUGGCUCUGUAACAAGCAUAAACUGUGAUGGUCUGGGAUGCCCUCGUCAUAGACAGCCCCUGGAGAGUCGAAGGUCCACAGAAAACAUCCUGGGGUCCUGAGCUGAAGUGUGAUGGGAGGAGUCCUCUGUAUCUCAGUCUGAUCCUGGUCUCCCUCUCGGCCAUGGUCUCACACUAGUGCUGCUGGGAAACCAUCCCUCACAUCCAGUCCUGGCAUCGGGCAGUGACUCUGGUCCAACUGUUGUCCAACUCAAGGGUUUAGCUGCUUAGAUUUUCCUAAAACUUGAAUUUCAUUUUCCUCUAGCCAUGGAAUACAGAUUAAUCCUUUACAAUUAAAAUCCAAGUUCAGAUUUUAUUUGUUGUGGUUUUUAAUUAAAAUCUCACCAGCACUUUGUGGAUUUUUUUUUUCUUAGAAAGGCAAACACACUGUGCGUAUCAGUCAGCCUGGACUGCCAUCACAAAAUACCAUAGACUGUGUGUCUUAAAACAACAGAAAUGUAUUUUCUCACAGUUCUGGAGGCUGGAAGUUCAAGGUCAAUGUUCUGGAUGAUUUGGUUUCCAGUGAGGCCUCUCUUUCUUGCUUGCAGAUGGCUGCCAUUCUUCUGUGUCCUGUAGGGAAGUUCAAACUUUUCCUCUGAAGGUUUGAACAAACUGACAAUAUGCAGACUAAUAGGAGGAAGAAAGGCAUUCAAAGUUGCUAAUGUGCAUAAGCACAAGGCCACAGAAAAUAUGAGAUUCAAAG